rnacentral:rRNA from 1 species
UGGGGAAUAUUGCACAAUGGGCGCAAGCCUGAUGCAGCCAUGCCGCGUGUGUGAAGAAGGCCUUCGGGUUGUAAAGCACUUUCAGCGAGGAGGAAGGUGGUGAGCUUAAUACGCUCAUUAAUUGACGUUACUCGCAGAAGAAGCACCGGCUAACUCCGUGCCAGCAGCCGCGGUAAUACGGAGGGUGCAAGCGUUAAUCGGAAUUACUGGGCGUAAAGCGCACGCAGGCGGUUUGUUAAGUCAGAUGUGAAAUCCCCGGGCUCAACCUGGGAACUGCAUUUGAAACUGGCAAGCUAGAGUCUCGUAGAGGGGGGUAGAAUUCCAGGUGUAGCGGUGAAAUGCGUAGAGAUCUGGAGGAAUACCGGUGGCGAAGGCGGCCCCCUGGACGAAGACUGACGCUCAGGUGCGAAAAGCGUGGGGCAGCAAACAGGAUUAGAUACCCUGGUAGUCCACGCUGUAAACGAUGUCGAUUUGGAGGUUGUGCCCUUGAGGCGUGGCUUCCGGAGCUAACGCGUUAAAUCGACCGCCUGGGGAGUACGGCCGCAAGGUUAAAACUCAAAUGAAUUGAC